rnacentral:tRNA from 1 species
UGCCUUGGAAGUCCACAGAUGACGCUGCCCUUACAAGGCAGAGAUCCUCGGUUCAAAUCCGAGCAGGCCCA